UUCGCAGGAGAGAUAGCGCCC
rnacentral:miRNA from 1 species